rnacentral:rRNA from 1 species
GAUGAACGCUGGCGGCGUGCCUAAUACAUGCAAGUCGAGCGAACGGACGAGAAGCUUGCUUCUCUGAUGUUAGCGGCGGACGGGUGAGUAACACGUGGAUAACCUACCUAUAAGACUGGGAUAACUUCGGGAAACCGGAGCUAAUACCGGAGAAUAUUUUGAACCGCAUGGUUCAAAAGUGAAAGACGGUCUUGCUGUCACUUAUAGAUGGAUCCGCGCUGCAUUAGCUAGUUGGUAAGGUAACGGCUUACCAAGGCAACGAUGCGUAGCCGACCUGAGAGGGUGAUCGGCCACACUGGAACUGAGACACGGUCCAGACUCCUACGGGAGGCAGCAGUAGGGAAUCUUCCGCAAUGGGCGAAAGCCUGACGGAGCAACGCCGCGUGAGUGAUGAAGGUCUUCGGAUCGUAAAGCUCUGUUAUUAGGGAAGAACAUAUGUGUAAGUAACCGUGCACAUCUUGACGGUACCUAAUCAGAAAGCCACGGCUAACUACGUG